rfam:Ictidomys tridecemlineatus contig046197, whole genome shotgun sequence.
GGGGAUAUAGCUAAGUUGGUAGAGUACUUGCCUCACAUGCACAAGGCCCUGGGUUCAAUCCCCAGUACCACCA